GUUCUCUUGGGUUGCGUUUCUUGGAGUGCUUUUUCAGAAGGCUUCUUUUCAAACCAACUCGAGGUUCUACCAUUUCUCACGUGCAGAAUCCAUGCCGGCAUAUAUUACAAGUUCUUAAUGUCAUAGCUCAAAGAAUGGUCAAUUUAGUAACUCACUUGUCAACAACCCAACGUUCUUGUUCUCUUCCUACCUUCACCCUUCUCAAGAUCUCCAAUGUCUUUAUAGUUCUCCCCUCAAGCAAAACUGUUAGAUAUGCAGAAAUUAUCACUAGAUGUAAGGUAAAUGCUGUUUUACUUCAAUCCUGCUGGAAAAGACCUGCUGGCUUUACUUUAUUGGGUAGAAGUAUUUUUUGUAGGAUAAUUUGAUGUUUUUUUUUCUUUGCUAUAGAUUAUCGAACUAAAGUAGCUUUGUUUUCUUGUCCUGUAAAAGUUCAAGGGAGCUGGUAUUUAUUUAUCUGCUUUCGUAA
rnacentral:misc_RNA from 1 species